UACAGAGGUCCCGAGCGUUGUUCGGAUUCAUUGGGCGUAAAGGGUGCGUAGGCGGCGGGGCAAGUCUGAUGUGAAAUCCCGGGGCUCAACCCCGGAACUGCAUUGGAUACUGCCUUGCUUGAGUACUGGAGAGGGAACUGGAAUUUAUGGUGUAGCAGUGAAAUGCGUAGAGAUCGUAAGGAAGGCCAGUGGCGAAGGCGAGUUCCUGGACAGUUACUGACGCUGAGGCACGAAGGCCAGGGGAGCAAACGGG
rnacentral:rRNA from 1 species